GCAGAGCGUGAGAAUUGGUUAGUUUUUCAUCUCGGUGGCCUAAUUAUAGAAAGGGAGCUGUCCCUGUAUAGAUUGUGGUCUAUAUAUAUGGCGCCCACCUGGAAUCUGGCCAUCUGCAGAUUCUCGGCAACGGUUUUCAGGCUCUGCA
rnacentral:other from 1 species